rnacentral:rRNA from 1 species
CACUCUUAAGAUUGAGCUGUGAUGGGGAGAGGAAAUUGUUUCCUCGAGUCGUUGAUUUCACACUGCCGAGAAAAGCCUCUAGAUAGAGAUUAGGUGCCCGUACCGCAAACCGACACAGGUAGUCAAGAUGAGAAUUCUAAGGUGAGCGAGCGAACUCUCGUUAAGGAACUCGGCAAAAUGACCCCGUAACUUCGGGAGAAGGGGUGCUCUUUAGGGUGCAAGCCCAGA